AGGGGUUUGGAUCAUGGCUCAGAUUGAACGCUGGCGGCAUGCUUUACACAUGCAAGUCGAACGGCAGCACGGGGGCAACCCUGGUGGCGAGUGGCGAACGGGUGAGGAAUGCACCGGAACGUAUCUUCAAGUGGGGGAUAACGCAUCGAAAGGUGUGCUAAUACCGCAUAAUCUCUGAGGAGAAAAGCAGGGGAUCGCAAGACCUUGCGCUUUUGGAGCGGCCGAUGCCUGAUUAGCUUGUUGGUGAGGUAAAAGCUCACCAAGGCUCCGAUCAGUAGCUGGUCUGAGAGGACGACCAGCCACACUGGGACUGAGACACGGCCCAGACUCCUACGGGAGGCAGCAGUGGGGAAUUUUGGACAAUGGGGGCAACCCUGAUCCAGCCAUGCCGCGUGAGUGAAGAAGGCCUUCGGGUUGUAAAGCUCUUUCAGCCGGAACGAAACGGUCACGGUUAAUACCCGUGACUACUGACGGUACCGGAAGAAGGAGCACCGGCUAACUACGUGCCAGCAGCCGCGGUAAUACGUAGGGUGCGAGCGUUAAUCGGAAUUACUGGGCGUAAAGCGUGCGCAGGCGGUUUUGUAAGUCAGAUGUGAAAUCCCCGGGCUUAACCUGGGAACUGCGUUUGAAACUGCAAAGCUAGAGUGUGGCAGAGGGGGUGGAAUUCCGCGUGUAGCAGUGAAAUGCGUAGAGAUGUGGAGGAACACCAAUGGCGAAGGCAGCCCCUGGGUCAACACUGACGCUCAGGCACGAAAGCAUGGGGAAGCAAACAGG
rnacentral:rRNA from 1 species